rnacentral:misc_RNA from 1 species
GAUGGGGUGGAGGUUUCCUCCCGGUGUGUCGUGGGCGUAUGAAGAUAUUUCAAGCUUGUCUAGCGAAACUUAAGGGUAGGCGAGAUGUCGCCUCGGCUUUGCAGUUUGAAACUAUAAGAAAGGAGUUAGACUCAGCUAUUGAUCAGUAUGAGCAGUAUUGGAAGCAAUGCGUAAAAAAUUUCGGGUUGCAAGGAGGAGAUUCCAAUACACGAUUUUUUCACUCAGAAGCUUCAAUCAGGAGAAAAGCUAACAAUAUAACCCAGUAGUGUGAUGCACACGGUGUGAUGAGAUGCUGGGAUUUUGGGUUGGAUUAAGUUAAUGC